AUGGCAAAAUUCUGGUGGAGUAGUUCAAUUGAUAAGCGUUCUUUGCAUUGGAUAUCUUGGAAGAAUCUCGCAACACCAAAGUGUACAGGUGGAAUGGGUUUCCGGGACCUCCACCUUUUGAACUUGGCACUCCUGGGUAAACAAGGUUGGCGCCUCAUCACAAAUCCUAAUACCCUAUGUGCUAGAGUGCUCAAGGGCAAGUAUUUCCCAGACUCAGACUUUGUGCAGGCUGCAACUCCAAGAUCCUCCUCGGCCACCUGGAGGGAAAUUGUAGCUGGGCGGGAAUCAUUGGCCACCGGUCUCAUCAAGCGGGUGGGGGAUGGAUCCACCAUCUCUAUAUGGAACGACCGCUGGAUCCCCUCGACCAACACUUUGGCUCCUCUAUUCCGUCCUCUGGCCACGAAUGUCUCCCUGGUCAGCGAGCUGGUCGAUGUGGACAACUGGACAUGGAGAAGGGAACUAAUCCAUGACAUCUUCAUCCUCCCAUAA
rnacentral:rRNA from 1 species